rnacentral:lncRNA from 1 species
UAAACUUACUACUUCUUGUACGUCUACCUCUGACUAGGGUCAGAUGUAAAAUGGGGUUUUGGCCAGAUGUAAAAAGUGUUUUCUGUACUAGUGGUGAUAUGUAGGUGUUGGUGGAAACUUGAGUUUGCAAUUCAGUUGCAGGAUGGAGGGAAACAUGCAGCAGGAGGUAAAGUAGCAAAUGAUGCUUACGCGUCACAUAAUAAUGUCACAUUGGACACUGAGGAAGAGAUUAUAGGCGUCGAGCUUGAUGAAAGUUCUACGCUUAUAAUCUCUUUUUGUUUAUCACUUUCAUGGAUAUGAAUUUUCUUUGCUCAUACAAGUCAUAACAGUAGCACAAAUAAGAACAUUUGUUUUUUUUCCACAGCUCAAUAAAUUACUUCAAAAGGCCAUACUCUAGAAACCCUGAUCAACCUGAACAUGUUAAACCUUUUUUUUUUCAGUACUGUAUUUUCACCUUCAAAAAGGAUAUGAAGCCAUAAAGAAAAAGACAGAAAAGUUAUAGAUAUGAUGAUGGUAAUGUACUAAUGUAACAGGAACAAAGAGAUAAAAGUGAGAGAUGUAAAACAAAUGUCCUAUUCAAAGCAAUCCAUGUUACCCUUAAAAAGGCAAUUUUCUUUUUUACCUCUUUUCCAUUCUCUUUUGAUAAAACUUUGAAUAUUAUUGAUGGUUUACAAAUUUUCUCGAUUCUUGAAACUUUGUCCUCAAUUUGUGAGCUAUGAAGCAUUCACAUAGACACCAGAUACAAUACUGACAUGUCUGAUACCGAACACAUCUUAAUCUGAAGUGUUGGUGCUAC